rnacentral:rRNA from 1 species
GACAUAGGUGGCGAACGUUAUCCGGAAUUAUUGGGCGUAAAGGAUGCGUAGAUGGUAGAAUAAGUUAUUGGUCGAUGCCAAACUCAAUUUGGCGGAAGCUGGUAAUACUGUUCUACUCGAGGGCAGGAGAGGUUGAUGGAAUUCUGUGUGGAGCGGUGAAAUGCGUUGAUCUACAGAGGAACACCAAAAAAGGCGAAGGCAGUCAACUAUUCUGCUCCUGACAUUGAGGCAUGAAAGCGUGGGGAGCAAACCGG